rfam:Schistosoma curassoni strain Dakar, Senegal genome assembly, scaffold: SCTD_scaffold0002041
AUCUAGCUGACGAGUCCCAUAUAAGACGAAACAUGCGUCCUGGAU